rnacentral:tRNA from 1 species
CAGGAAGAGCGUAAUUAGCUAUCGUGCCUGUUUUGGGAGCAAGAAAUUGCGGGUUCAAGUUCCGUCUUCCUGA